GCCACUCGUGGAGGCUAUCAUGAUGUGUCUGCAGACUACAACAUGAAGGAAGAAGAAUCCGGAUGGAUGUACAUCACUUCCAGCAUGUGAGUGUCUGGUGAACCUGAGCACCUCCUCGCGCUCAUCUUUCAGCCAGUUGUCGAGCUCGGUCAGCCGUUGAGCAUCAAUCUGUUGGCGGCCGAUGUCCAGAUGAUCCUUCAGCUGGUCCAGACGUUGCUCUGCAGCGUUGGUCUUCAAGAAGCCCUGAGAGACAAAAGAGAAACCGUGAAGAUCUUUUUGUCGUGCAUGUCCAUCACAGAAGAGACAGCUGCACUCAUAGACAGCCAGCUGCAGGUCCUGGUACCAGUCCUCAAAUGACUGCCUCUCAUCUGGAGAAGAUGGCAAUUCAACACAAGAAUCGAGCAUCAUCAUCUUUGCCGGCAGACUUCUCGUGAACAUUGAGCAGGAAAAGUAGAACGCUUCAAAAACUGACCUUCAAUGACCGUGAGGAAGCCUUUUUCCCGCUCCUCUCUCUUCAGGUGGAUUAUGUCCUUGGCGCGGGCGAUGGCAGCUGUCAGUCCUUCGCAGUCCGCCGAAAGAGUCUCCAGCACCUGUGGACUCGCCACACUGGAGACCAGAGCAAUCUCCUUCAGCACGGACUCAGCCUGCCUCUCCUGGUCCUCUAGACCUGCCUCUAGAUCCUGGAGCACAACAGUUCUUCUUUCAUUCAUUUUGGAAAUGUUUGAAUUGCAGUAAAGUGGAAGUAAUCUUCCUGGAAUUUUUAUUUGUUCAACAUAAAGUGUUUACAGUAUAUUACUAUUAGAGAUGUCGAUAAAUGCUUUAAAAUGUAAUAUCGGAAAUUAUAGGUAUCGGUUUCAACCUCCCGAUUUUCUCGGGAGACCCCCGAAUUUCAGUGCCCCUGGUAGUAAUUUUUUUUUUUUUUGUUUUUUUUUGUUGUUGUUGUCAUAAAGAAAUACAAUCAUGUGUGCUUGCGGACUGUAUCCCUGCAGACUG